GUCACAUGAUGUCUGAAACAGCCCAAUAGUCAGUCAGUCGUGAUUCCUUUGGGCCAAGGGAGGACAGCGGGCACAAAGCUGAGGGGAGAGGCAGGGGGCCUGAGGCUGGGUGAUGGAGGAUUGGCAGCCGUGAUUAUUUUGGGCCAAGGGAGGACAGGGGGCACAAAGCUGAGGGGAGAGGCAGGGGGCCUGAGGCUGGGUGAUGGAGGAUUGUCAGCCGUGAUUAUUUCGGGCCAAGGGAGGACAGGGGGCGCAAAGGGGCUAGGUGGUGAUGAAGAAUAAGAUAGGGCCGAGGAGGAGGACAAGCCAGAUCACCAUCCUCAACAGAUGGCAGAGAAACAGAGCUGGAUCGUUGAAAUGGGGAUCAAUAUUCAGAAGCCCAUGGUAACACUGAGUAUGACACCGGCUGUAUUAACAUGGAAAUAUCAUGCAGUAUCUCCAGUAACUUGGCUUUCCAACUUUGCUGGUUUCAUUUGCAGCAGAGACGCCUGUGCUGCUCGGCCUCACUGGGACCAGAAGACCACACUGCCUGUGCUGCUCGGCCUCACUGGGACCAAAAGACCACACUGCCUGUGCUGCUCGGCCUCACUGGGACCAGAAGACCACACUGCCUGUGCUGCUCGGCCUCACUGGGACCAGAAGACCACACUGCCUGUGUUGCUAGGCAUCACUGGGACCAGAAGACCACACUGCCUGUGCAGCUCGGCAUCACUGGAACCAGAAGACCACACUGCCUGUGCAGCUCGGCAUCACCGGGAACAGAAGACCACACUGCCUGUGCUGGGCCCAGCAACAUCCUAGUACCUAUACCUGUAAUUAACGCUUAGGAUGGCGGGGGACAUAUGACAGCCAGGCACUUAUAGUUGCAAUAAGAAGUUAGGCUUUUAAAGGUAUGAGCCAAUGGUCAUCUAUUAGGCAUUUAUUCAGUAGUCAUUAUCUAAAAAGUGUUUAUUUAGUCACAACCUGGAUGUUGCUGGGCCCAGCACAGAAAGACACAGAUGUACUGCAUGUUCCUUAAUGUUGGCACUAUAUGUAACAGCAAUCAACCUAUAGUUGUAUCUCCAGUGGUGCGUUUACAUUUAGUCUCAAAUACGAGCUGGUUAAAAGGAGGACUAAAUGUCACAGGUAGUGAUAAACGCUGUACUAUAGUUGCCUAUGUAUACGUGUGUGUGUGUGAGGGUGUUUUCCUGACCACCAUGUGAUCAAAGCAGGAAUUACUCUAGGGCCUGGUUGUAGCCCCUUCAUACAGACCAGGUGGAAGAGAAUAUUCCAUUGAAUUAGCUCAAUAUUCAGUGUUGGACUAAUGGAGGCAAUAUUCCAUCUGUCAUCUAGAUGGUACUCUUGAAUUCAACAGUUUUUUGUAAGUCUAAAAUAGUCUAUGUAUAAAUCAACUAUUAGUAUAUCAAUCAUUGACUCUCUCGAUAGAUAUAAAUGCAUAUUCUCUGUAAUGUGGGGAAAUGAGAUUAGUUUAUGAGCAAUAAAUACUCAAUUAGGUCCAUUUCAGGAUUUCCUUUGACAUGGCAAAUGGCUCCAUCUGGUGGUUAAAUAUGACUAGUGCACAGCAGUCUAGCAGAAACAUCACCAGUCCGUUGAAUGUUGAAAACAGUUUACUACAAUACAUAUAAAAACCCAAAUUUCAGAGCAUUUAAAAAAAAAAAAAUUGGUGAGAUACACCAAAACGUGGAACACUUUGAAAAAAAAAAUGGUCAAAAAUGGACUACAAAUGGACUACAAAUGAAAAUCUUUUGAGUAAAUAUAAAUAAAAAAAUGAAAAACAGACAACCGUUACAUUUGUCCUAAAUAGAGAUGGUUCUGAAGAGAGAAGGAUAUCCAAGUAAUCUUUCACUUGUUUCUAUUACUACAGUGACAAGAGAACUCAGGACUCAGUUGCUCCUUAAAGUG